UCCCUGGUGGUCCAGUGGUUAGGGUUUCGCACUGUCACUGCCGAGGGCCCAGGUUCGACCCCUGGUUGGGGAA